GCCAAUGUGCAAUUGCAUCAAAUG
rnacentral:siRNA from 1 species